rnacentral:snoRNA from 1 species
AUCCUUUUGUAGUUCAUGAGCAUGAUGAUUGGAUGUUCACGUGCUUGUGUGAGAUGUGCCACCCUUGAACCUUGUUACAACAUUGGCACAUUACCCAUCUGACC